rnacentral:rRNA from 1 species
AGCGAACGCUGGCGGCAGGCCUAACACAUGCAAGUCGAACGGACCCUUCGGGGUUAGUGGCGGACGGGUGAGUAACACGUGGGAACGUGCCUUUAGGUUCGGAAUAGCUCCUGGAAACGGGUGGUAAUGCCGAAUGUGCCCUUCGGGGGAAAGAUUUAUCGCCUUUAGAGCGGCCCGCGUCUGAUUAGCUAGUUGGUGAG